GCCGCGUCCAAGGUCACAUGCGAGUACGAUGUUCAUCUAUUUCUUUUUCACCUGGGUGCCUGGCACGACAUGACCGUUUCCUCGAAACGCAACAGUGGCCCUAUACGUACAGAUGUGGGACAUAGCUUCGUUUCCGUGGUACGCUGGAUCAGUUUGU